rnacentral:rRNA from 1 species
AAUUUUGGACAAGGGGGGAAACGCUGAUCCAGCCAUGCCGCGUGUAUGAUGAAGGNCCNNGGGUUNUNAAGUACUUUUGGCAGNNNNNAAAAGGUACCCCCUAAUACGAGGUACUGCUGACGGUAUCUGUAGAAUAAGCACCGGCUAACUACGUGCCAGCAGCCGCGGUAAUACGUAGGGUGCAAGCGUUAAUCGAAAUUACAGGGCGUAAAGCGUGUGUAGGCGGUUCGGAAAGAAAGAUGUGAAAUCCCAGGGCUCAACCUUGGAACUGCAUUUUUAACUGCCGAGCUAGAGUAUGUCAGAGGGGGGUAGAAUUCCACGUGUAGCAGUGAAAUGCGUAGAUAUGUGGAGGAAUACCGAUGGCGAAGGCAGCCCCCUGGGAUAAUACUGACGCUCAGACACGAAAGCGUGGGGAGCAAACAG